AAAAAAAUCCGCCCGCCCCCUUCCCUUCCCGGCCGAUCGCUGGAGGCCGGCUGCCAUUCCCAAUCUCUCCGCCAGCGUCCGGUCCCUUCUUGGAAACCCGACCCCUCUUUCUGGUUAUGAACAAAUAAAGAGGUUUAGGCGGUAUAAGGUCCCCUCCUCCCUCCCCACCACCCCGCCCCUACCGCAACUCUUUUCGUCAUCAAAUUUCUCUUCCGGGCCGAUCGCCAGAGACCGGCCGCCUUCUCCAACCGAAGUCCCCAAUCUCCCCGCCGGCGUCCAGUGCCUUCUUCCCGGUCACAGUAUUGUCGAUCUCUCUCUUGCCCACUCACAUCACCGGAUAGCUCUUGGAUUCAUUCUAACGCGAUGCAGUCCUACUCUCCCCCUUCUUCGAUUGCCUCCUUGCUUCUUCUUGAUUUCUUGGGUUUAGAUAACCCUAGAACCAAAUCUUGAUGCGAGAAGCCUUCUUUUCUGAUGAAGAUAGUGCUAUUUCUUGAUUUCUUGGUAGCAUUCGAUUCUUUUCUAUUCUUGGGAACCCUAGCGCGCUAGAGAUGAUUAUUGGGGCUGGGUAAGCAGCAAUAACUUUUCGCCUCAGUCGAUAGGCUCGAGAGGAGGAACAGUUUGGACAAGGGGCGUCGGAUCUCGAACAGCAAGCCAAGGAAUUGGAAAUCCAGGUGUUUUGGGUCCCGACAUCGAUGAGUCAAUACUUGGUGGGAGGUUGAUGAUGGUGGCUAUUACCAUCCGAUCGGCAGAACAACGGAGGCACCGCAUCUCUGGAGGAGGUUUAAUCCCUGAAUUAUUGAUUCUUUUCUGAAUUUUUAUUGUCAAAUUUAUAGCCUUUUGUUCCACAUGAGCGUUGUUUGUCCUAUUUUUUCCCCCCUCUUUCCCGGUGUAAAUUUAUAAUCAAUAAUUUCAAAAAUACUUGUCAGAAAAACAAUGUCUUUGCGUA
rnacentral:lncRNA from 1 species